AAAAGCACAUGGGCCUACGCGUUGCGGCCAUAUUGGCCUUCAUCAGGGCAUAGAAACAGGAAGUACAACAAAGCUUAAAAUGGACACCCUUAGGUGUUCAGUGGGUGGAGCGUUCCCAACAUUA